UUGAACGACGCUAAUAGUCUAAGUCCUUUACUGGACUACGUUAUUUCGGUCAAGACACCUACGGAUACUCCUCAAGUCUGUAGCCCGGUCGCUAGUGACUGGCUGAACAAGCCUUAAUCACUUUGACGGAGAGGAUCGACGUGUUUGGUGUGUUUCAU
rnacentral:ncRNA from 1 species